rnacentral:rRNA from 1 species
GAAGGUGUGCUGUGAGGCAUGCUGGAGGUAUCAGAAGUGCGAAUGCUGACAUAAGUAACGAUAAAGCGGGUGAAAAGCCCGCUCGCCGGAAGACCAAGGGUUCCUGUCCAACGUUAAUCGGGGCAGGGUGAGUCGACCCCUAAGGCGAGGCCGAAAGGCGUAGUCGAUGGGAAACAGGUUAAUAUUCCUGUACUUGGUGUUACUGCGAAGGGGGGACGGAGAAGGCUAUGUUGGCCGGGCGACGGUUGUCCCGGUUUAAGCGUGUAGGCUGGUUUUCCAGGCAAAUCCGGAAAAUCAAGGCUGAGGCGUGAUGACGAGGCACUACGGUGCUGAAGCAACAAAUGCCCUGCUUCCAGGAAAAGCCUCUAAGCAUCAGGUAACAUCAAAUCGUACCCCAAACCGACACAGGUGGUCAGGUAGAGAAUACCAAGGCGCUUGAGAGAACUCGGGUGAAGGAACUAGGCAAAAUGGUGCCGUAACUUCGGGAGAAGGCACGCUGAUAUGUAGGUGAAGUCCCUCGCGGAUGGAGCUGAAAUCAGUCGAAGAUACCAGCUGGCUGCAACUGUUUAUUAAAAACACAGCACUGUGCAAACACGAAAGUGGACGUAUACGGUGUGACGCCUGCCCGGUGCCGGAAGGUUAAUUGAUGGGGUUAGCGCAAGCGAAGCUCUUGAUCGAAGCCCCGGUAAACGGCGGCCGUAACUAUAACGGUCCUAAGGUAGCGAAAUUCCUUGUCGGGUAAGUUCCGACCUGCACGAAUGGCGUAAUGAUGGCCAGGCUGUCUCCACCCGAGACUCAGUGAAAUUGAACUCGCUGUGAAGAUGCAGUGUACCCGCGGCAAGACGGAAAGACCCCGUGAACCUUUACUAUAGCUUGACACUGAACAUUGAGCCUUGAUGUGUAGGAUAGGUGGGAGGCUUUGAAGUGUGGACGCCAGUCUGCAUGGAGCCGACCUUGAAAUACCACCCUUUAAUGUUUGAUGUUCUAACGUUGACCCGUAAUCCGGGUUGCGGACAGUGUCUGGUGGGUAGUUUGACUGGGGCGGUCUCCUCCUAAAGAGUAACGGAGGAGCACGAAGGUUGGCUAAUCCUGGUCGGACAUCAGGAGGUUAGUGCAAUGGCAUAAGCCAGCUUGACUGCGAGCGUGACGGCGCGAGCAGGUGCGAAAGCAGGUCAUAGUGAUCCGGUGGUUCUGAAUGGAAGGGCCAUCGCUCAACGGAUAAAAGGUACUCCGGGGAUAACAGGCUGAUACCGCCCAAGAGUUCAUAUCGACGGCGGUGUUUGGCACCUCGAUGUCGGCUCAUCACAUCCUGGGGCUGAAGUAGGUCCCAAGGGUAUGGCUGUUCGCCAUUUAAAGUGGUACGCGAGCUGGGUUUAGAACGUCGUGAGACAGUUCGGUCCCUAUCUGCCGUGGGCGCUGGAGAACUGAGGGGGGCUGCUCCUAGUACGAGAGGACCGGAGUGGACGCAUCACUGGUGUUCGG